rnacentral:rRNA from 1 species
AAUCAACGCUGGCGGCGUGCCUAACACAUGCAAGUCGAGCGAGAAAGGGGGGGCAACUCCCUGAGUAAAGCGGCGCACGGGUGAGUAACACGUGGGUAAUCUGCCCUGGAGUGUGGAAUAACACCGGGAAACCGGUGCUAAUACCGCAUACGAUCAUGAUGUCUGCGGACGUUGUGAUGAAAGGAGCAAUUCGCUCCAGGAGGAGCCCGCGGCUGAUUAGCUAGUUGGUGAGGUAAUGGCUCACCAAGGCUACGAUCAGUAUCCGGUCUGAGAGGACGGCCGGACACACUGGAACUGAGACACGGUCCAGACUCCUACGGGAGGCAGCAGUGGGGAAUUUUUGGCAAUGGGGGCAACCCUGACCAAGCAACGCCGCGUGGGUGAUGAAGUCUCUUGGGACGUAAAACCCUUUCGACGGGGAAGAAACCGCAAGGUUGACGGUACCCGUAGAAGAAGCCCCGGCUAACUCCGUGCCAGCAGCCGCGGUAAUACGGGGGGGGCAAGCGUUGCUCGGAAUUACUGGGCGUAAAGGGUGCGUAGGCGGUGCUCUAAGUCGGAUGUGAAAACUCUGGGCUCAACCCAGAGCCUGCAUCCGAAACUGGAGUGCUAGAGUUCUGGAGGGGGUAGCGGAAUUCCUGGUGUAGCGGUGAAAUGCGUAGAUAUCAGGAGGAACACCGGUGGCGAAGGCGGCUACCUGGACAGAAACUGACGCUGAGGCACGAAAGCUAGGGGAGCAAACAGGAUUAGAUACCCUGGUAGUCCUAGCCCUAAACGAUGGAUACUUGGUGUGACCGGGAUUGAAUCCGGUCGUGCCGAAGCUAACGCAUUAAGUAUCCCGCCUGGGGGAGUACGGUCGCAAGGCUG